rnacentral:ncRNA from 2 species
UCCUUAUCAAGAGAGGUGGAGGGACCGGCCCUACGAAACCUCGGCAACCCCUAUUUUAUUAGGAAGGUGCUAAUUCCUGCGUUUAAAGGCGACAGAUAAGGU